GCAAAUUACACAGAUUAUGGCAUUAAGCCAGUAAACAAGACGAAGUCCCUAAAUUACACGUAGGCCCAGCAAGAAAACCCUGAGCCUUACAACCCAAACAUUAAAUCCAAUAUUCUCAAGCAAAACUUAGCAAAACUUUCUCAGCGCUGUCAUCACCGUGAUUGGAAGCACCUUUCCUGAAAGACCAGAGGGAAAGACCUUUUGUUAGAGCCGCAAUACAAAGCCAUUCCAACCAAAGCCAUGAGGACCCUUACCUUUACAAGC
rnacentral:misc_RNA from 1 species